AUUAGAUGUGAGAUGAUUGUCUUUAGAUGUGAGAAGGUGUCAGACUGUAGUCUUUUCAAAGUCUGUUCAAAGUCUUCAAAUAGACUAUGAAAAGGCAUUUGCUAAAUUUG